rnacentral:misc_RNA from 1 species
GAUGAAGAACUCAGCGAAAUGCGAUAAGUAAUGUGAAUUGCAGAAUCCAGUGAAUCAUCGAAUCUUUGAACGCACAUUGCGCCCGCCAGCAUUCUGGCGGGCAUGCCUGUUCGAGCGUCAUUUCAACCCUCGACCUCCCCUUGGGGAGGUCGGCGUUGGGGACCGGCAGCACACCGCCGGCCCUGAAAUGGAGUGGCGGCCCGUCUGCGGCGACCUCUGCGUAGUAAUACAGCUCGCACCGGAACCCCGACGCGGCCACGCCGUAAAACACCCAACUUCUGAACGUUGACCUCGAAUCAGGUAGGACUACCCGCUGAACUUAAGCAUAUCAAUAAGCGGAGGA